ACCCUAGUUGGUGGAACACUGCGCCUGCAAUUGGAGAGUUUUGGGUUCAAAUCCUGGUUUUGG
rnacentral:tRNA from 1 species